GCCGAACUGGCCUUUCCUGGGCCGAACUCCAAGUGAUGGUCCUGAAGGGCUAAUUCCGCUG
rnacentral:pre_miRNA from 1 species